rnacentral:piRNA from 1 species
UGUAAUUAUAGAUAAUUGUAGGU